UCUUGCCAUAGGUGCCAUUUUAUAUAAAUACGCUACUGCUAGUACAAUGAGUUAUCAAUAGCUUCAAUUAUCAACUUAAAAGAACAAGUGCACUAUUCCAAUAUAUCUGUGAUCUGCCCUGGUUGCAGGUUUAGAAAUGCUAGUAUCUACUUCCACUGAGAAAGCUUCAUAAAAGAGAUCUGUAUGUUAGGCAACAGAUGCAAAUGCCAGCAGUUUGCAUGCAUUUUAUCCCUAUCACAAGACAAAAUGUUUAAAAUGGGAAAGACAUCAUGUCAAUUGAAUUGAAACUCAAUGGAAGUCUGUACUCCAUAUCAAAUAUAUUAAUAUCUCCAUAGUAAAUCUUUAUAGAUGAAUUCAGAUUUAUUAUGUGACUUCAAGCAUAUUCUGAUCUGAACAGAAUCAAGGACAUAGUACUUCCUCUCUAACAUUCAAAAAGCUAGACUGAUGGUUUGGAGUGACACUUUGUUAGGCAGCUACACAGACCUGUACAUGCUUUCCAGAGGAAAAUGAUAAUGAUUAAUAAUAAUUACUUUCUUUAUUGACAUAUUUGCAGUUCACCAGUGUAACAAUUGAUAUAUAACAUACGAAAUGAUAACAUUUUGUGAUCUCUGAUUAUAUAUAAAAAAAGUAUUUAAAAAAAAAAAAUACUUCAUUUUCAUCCAUGAGCCAAUCCUUUAUUUACUGUAUUGUAUACAUACUCUGAAGAAUUGAACCUAAAACUAACAUAUAUUAAAUCUGUUUCUUCUAUCUUGUUAUUGUGUAAUAUUUGGCUGGAUUUGUGUUAUUUGUAUCUAAUAUAAUAUUUGGAUAAAUUUGAAUAAAUUGUUUUUUCUGAAAGUAGAAAAAUGUCCUCAGUUAUUGCAUUGUAUGAUGGAAGGACGAUUGCCAAGAGGAUUAGGAACCUGAACUUGUCUGACAUUAUAUAAAUUCCUAAGUGAUCAUCUAUAAGUAUUUCUUUCCUUUUUUUUCUCAUUGAGAUGAAAUCAUAGUAUUUCAGGAACGAGAAAUGGAGACCUGACUUCUGGAUAAUUGUGAUAUAAUAGAAUUUUUAUUUCAUAAAUUGUUAAAUUUCUCAAGAUGGACAUGUAAGAACAUCUUUAGAAUGUUAUUAAGGUCAAGACAGACCGUAUACAAUUUGUAUUGCAUCAAAAUAUGCUACAGCAUUGUACAGGCUAUUCAAAAAGAACAUUUGAGAUUUUAAAAAUUUGUCAUUCAGUAUACUUUGAGAUAGGAUGAUGAUUUUCCUUUUAUUGUGUAAGUCAGUUUUUUUACAUGCAUUACAAAUGUUCAAUAUAUUGCGUUUUGUCACUCUGCAGAUAUCUACAUGUAGUCCAUUUUUUGCCACUCAUGCUUCAGAAUAUCGCCAAUGAUAGUUUGAAUGACAGUCCUGAUAUAUAUCUUGAUUGUGAGAUGAUAAUGUGUAGAGGAGGGACAAAAACUUAAUCUUUCAUAUAUAGCCUCAGAAAAAAUUGUAUGGGGUUAAGUCUGGAAAACUGAAUAGCCAGGACAGGAGAUUUCUCAUCAAUGUUAAUCCCACAUUCGAUCCAUUGCUGCAGUAAAUGCAAUGGAUCUAUCACAAAGUCGGGGGCACUUACUGUAGCAAUGGAUUGCUGCAUUAAAUACUGACUUCAUGAUGGAAAUGAGAUAUGGCUCCAUUUUGUUCCAGUACAAAAUCAACAGUGUCUUCAUGCAGCUAGAGUAGCAGCUAUUCAAUGAUCCUAUCCAAAUAAGUCAUUCCUAUUACAGUUUGUUCAAUGAAGAAGAACAGGUUGUACACCUUCAUUUUGAAAAAGUGUGCAAAAAAUAUCCACUUGGGGAGUCAUGCUCAUGUUGAGCAUAACAAUGAGGAGUUUCCAUCUCCCAAAUUUGAAUACUGCAUGUUGACUUUUUCAUACAAAUGAAAUGCUGCUUCAUAACUAAAAAUAGCUAUCUUCUUCCAUUAGUCCUUGUAAUGUAAUAGAAAAAAUUCUUUGGCAGUGAUCAUUAGGUUUUAAACCUUGAAAUAUCAUUAAGCUAUAUGACUUAAUUCUUAGUCACUUUUGUCACACAAACAAACAAACACACAUACACAAACACACACAAUAAAUGUUGUUUGUGGUAUGCAGAGUACUCUACUAUCUUUCAUAAUUGAUUUUCUAGUGCUGCUUUGGAAAGUUUCUCUGAUUUGAUGCAGGGAGGGCAGAUAAUGCUUUUCCCUUAUAUUGGUACCUUAUUUCCUGCCAAUAAAAACCACCUGUGUCUGGAGGAAGAUACUUCCCAAAUUUCUUAUGGAACUGCUGUUGGACAGUGGUAAUGCACUAACUUUGAUGGAACUCAGAUAUAAAAUACUUUUUUCCUUAACUCUCAGCUGUCAUAUUUCAAAAGCUGCAUCUAGUUGAUAAGUGCAUAAGUUAUUGAAUGACAGGUGAUAUGAAACAAAACUUUGGUAGUUUCUCUAUCCACCAGUGCAGCUAUAAUAAUUGUUUUAUUUUAUAGCAGUAUAUUAAUUAUGUAACUUUUUGAAUAACUCUGUAUAGUUUGCCUUCCAUAUCUGCAAAUUCAACCAACUGUGGAUCAAGAAUAUUCGAAAAAAAAUUCCAAAAAGUUCCAAAAGCUGAAAUUUUUCUUGUCAUUAUUUCCUAAACAAUAAAAUAUAAUAGUUAUUUACAUAGCAUUCACAUUGUAUUAGAUAUCAUAAAUAAUUUAGGAAUGAUUUAAAGUAUAGAUGAUGUGCAUAAGUUAUAUGCAAAUACUAUGCCAUUUUGUAUAAUAGAUUUUAGCAUCUGCAGGGGUCCUAGACUCAUGCAGAAACCAAGGACCAACUGUAUAUAAUUAUCAUGAAUUAUUGACUUUUAUAAUUUAUCUAUUUUCUAAAGCUGUUACGAAUUUGGUAGGAUCUCUUUCCUUGUUUUCUAUACAUUUCUCAGCUUGUUUUUCAUUUUUCAAUGGCUUAAAACAUUUAGAACAUUCUUUAUUUC
rnacentral:lncRNA from 1 species